GACGAACGCUGGCGGCGUGCUUAACACAUGCAAGUCGAACGGAAAGGCCCUGCUUUUGUGGGGUGCUCGAGUGGCGAACGGGUGAGUAACACGUGAGUAACCUGCCCUUGACUUUGGGAUAACUUCAGGAAACUGGGGCUAAUACCGGAUAGGAGCUCCUGCUGCAUGGUGGGGGUUGGAAAGUUUCGGCGGUUGGGGAUGGACUCGCGGCUUAUCAGCUUGUUGGUGGGGUAGUGGCUUACCAAGGCUUUGACGGGUAGCCGGCCUGAGAGGGUGACCGGCCACAUUGGGACUGAGAUACGGCACAGACUCCUACGGGAGGGAGCAGUGGGGAAGAUUGCACGAUGGGCGGAAGCCUGAUGCAGCAACGCCGCGUGCGGGAUGACGGCCUUCGGGUGGUAAACCGCUUUCGCAUGUGACGAAGCGUGAGUGACGGUAAUGGGUAAAGAAGCACCGGCUAACUACGUG
rnacentral:rRNA from 1 species